UACGUAGGGCGCAAGCGUUGUCCGGAAUUAUUGGGCGUAAAGAGCUCGUAGGCGGCCUGUUGCGUCCGCUGUGAAAUCCCGGGGCUCGACCCCGGGCGUGCAGUGGAUACGGGCUGGCUGGAGGCAGGCAGGGGAGAACGGAAUUCCUGGUGUAGCGGUGAAAUGCGCAGAUAUCAGGAGGAACACCGGUGGCGAAGGCGGUUCUCUGGGCCUGUACUGACGCUGAGGAGCGAAAGCGUGGGGAGCGAACAGG
rnacentral:rRNA from 1 species